GAUUAACGCUGGCGGUGUGCCUAAUACAUGCAAGUCGAGCGAACAGACUAGGAGCUUACUCCUCUGACGUUAGCGGCGGACUUGUUAGUAACACGUUGAUAACCUACCUAUAAGACUGGGUUAACUUCGGGAAACCGGAGCUAAUACCAGAUAACAUGUUCAACCACAUGAUUAAACCAUGUACGACGGUCUUGCUGUCACUUAUAGAUUAAUCCGCGUCACAUUAUCUAUUUGUUAAGGUAACGGCUUACCGAGACAACGAUGCGUAGCCGACCUGAGAGGGUGAUAGGACACACGGGAACUGAGACACGGUCCAGAAUACUACGGGAGGCAGAAGUAGGGAAUCUUCAGCAAUGGGAGAAAGGGUGAAGGAGCAACGCUGCGUGAAUGAAGAAGGUAGUCGGAUCGUAAAACUCUGUUAGUAGGGAAGAACAAAUGUGUAAGUAACUAUGCACGUAUUGACGGUACCAAACCAGAAAGCUACGGCUAACUACGUG
rnacentral:rRNA from 1 species